rnacentral:rRNA from 1 species
ACGAACGCUGGCGGCGUGCUUAACCCCUGCAAGUCGAACGGAAAGGCCCUGCUUUUGUGGGGUGCUCGAGUGGCGAACGGGUGAGUAACACGUGAGUAACCUGCCCUUGACUUUGGGAUAACUUCAGGAAACUGGGGCUAAUACCGGAUAGGAGCUCCUGCUGCAUGGUGGGGGUUGGAAAGUUUCGGCGGUUGGGGAUGGACUCGCGGCUUAUCAGCUUGUUGGUGGGGUAGUGGCUUACCAAGGCUUUGUCGGGUAGCCGGCCUGAGAGGGUGACCGGCCACAUUGGGACUGAGAUACGGCCCAGACUCCUACGGGAGGCAGCAGUGGGGAAUAUUGCACAAUGGGCGGAAGCCUGAUGCAGCAACGCCGCGUGCGGGAUGACGGCCUUCGGGUUGUAAACCGCUUUCGCCUGUGACGAAGCGUGAGUGACGGUAAUGGGUAAAGAAGCACCGGCUAACUACGUG